rnacentral:lncRNA from 1 species
UUUUAUUUCCAACUUCCAAGUUUUGAAGAAGAUUAAAGAGACAAAGUUGAAAAUUACAUAGCAAACCGAACGAUUGAAAACGUGUAACUUAAGUUUUAAUAGAUCAUGAACGUGGCUUCAAUCAAAUAGGGCAACAAAUCAAAUUACAAAAGUGUGAUCUUCUUGUGAACUCUGGAGUCGCUACUCUCCAUGCUCUCCACUUCAUAUGAUGUUUGGCGGCAUUUAUUGAUUUGAGGUCUGAGCCAGCCAUCAUAACCACAAGAUGUGCCAGUUUUGUUUCUGUUGGUCAUUGUUCAUUGACCUGUCACCGUCACCAACAACAAUCUCAGUAUCACUUGGAUAAACAGCAUCCUGUUCGAUUGCAGUUGCAGAAACUACCGAUACCGAUAUCGGUCGAGUUCUUCCCCUUUAUUUAAAUUUCCUCUACCCUCAUGUACACCCAUGUGAAGGAGUAUAUUCACAAGGAGUCAAGGACCCCAUUUUAUAUCCUGUCUGGCGUAUUCAACUUUACUGCGGAUGGAGCACUUUUGGAUGCCUGGUCGAAAUUCCCAGGGUUAAAGAUAAACAACAUCCCGUUUCAUUGGAGAAACUACCGAUGUCGGUCGAGUUAUGUAUCUCUUCUUCCGAUUUCUUGCAAUGUCCUUGUGUACACCCAUGUGAGUUGGGUGUAUUCAAAAGGACACCCUUUUUCCUAUCCCCUGGAUUCAACUAUAAUGCUGAUGCAGCACUUGUGGAUGCCUGGCCGAAUCUCCCAGGCUUAAAGGCAGGAUUGCAUACGUACUUUCUGUUGUUCUAUACAGUUGGUGUACUUCUUCUUCCGCGUCGGCUGAAGACGUCGGAAUCGGAGACUGAAGCUGCGGCUGAUGUAAAAGAGACAAAGGGAAAAAAAAGGACAGAUGGAACAGGCAAACGUACCGCUAAAGCUUAAAACUUAAGAGAACCGAUGACCUUUGGACUCUGACGAGUCCGACAAACGGGAAAACAUCAUAUUGCGUUUCGGAACUCGUCGUGCCGUCCUCGGCAGAAAAUGCGGAAAUGCAUAAGAAGCGCGUCACAACAAAACUCAAAUGGCGUGAGCACUCUACCACACACUCAUAUUAUAUACAGCCGUGGUAUAUUACAGGACGUGUUUGUACCAGGACUAUAUAAUACAAUACCCCUUCGGCUUCCAUUUGACUCAUAUUUUCCAGCUUCGGUUUGAAAACUUUUCGAAAACAUCAUGCACGCGCGCUAGUCACCGACCAAACUGGACCGGCUGUUUUUUUUUUAUUAUUUUUGGUUGGGUGACACUUAUGUUAUUAUUUUCUGUGAACUCUUAAACAAUACGAGAACGCCUUUUAAUUCAAAACAAAUAUUCAGAGUGAAAUAUUGGAAAUUGAUAGCGCUGAAUUUUAACACAUUUUCGCGAUCAAAUAUUCAACUUUUGACAACUUAUAUGGGUACUUAGUAGGACUAAGUACUGUGUACGAUAGUUAAUUAUGAGUCACUUCUGUAAAUUGUUAGUUGUUUAUUCCAUCACCCAAGCGGCUAUUUAGCUUUAGGCCUUAUAUUAGCUCGAAACGUGUGGGGAGUUCUCUCCUUUCUGAGAACAGACAGGGAGGCGGCCAUCACGGAGCAAAUAAAAAAAAACCCUAAGCAAAACAAAAACAAAUGAAUAACAAGACAGAAAACAUGAAGAAAGAAAGAAAAAAAGGAGAGAACAGGGUUUUGUGAGACGCUUUCGAUGUUUUCUUCUGUAUGUAUGUAUACAAGGCACGGCAGCAGCACUAAGUGACAGUUUGUGGUAGUUAUCCCCCUGUCUCGACUCCAUUAACCUCUGCUGGCUGGUGAGGUCAGCAGGCAGCCUCAGUCGACUUGUAUUUCUUCUUCGCCUAUAUCUCUUUUUUCUUUGAUGCCUCGCUGUAUUAUAUUUUCUGCUUUGGCCCGUCGACCCACGUUGGAGUCUGACAGAUUCGAGUCUUGUUGUCCUGGAAAGCCACCACCAUGUUCUAUAUUGGUUGGGGGGAAAAUAAAACUCUUUUUGAAGUGAGAAGGACGAGUGUCUUUUCUUUUCUUCGGGGUUUUUUAUCGUUUCAUAAAACACUUGUCGACAUGGAACGACCUCUCACCUUCUUGCCUCGACAGCGCACAGCGGUAGAAGCAGCUACAACUCAAAUAUUGCACCGGCAACAACAAACAGCCGCCAUAUCGUCUCCUCAACAGAAACACACGUUGGCUAAAAGCGGACAAGAGUAUCUCUUUCCCGGAAUUGUAUAAUAAGACAGUGUCUAAUUUGAACAUUUUCCUGCUAAUUUCCUAG